ACACGUAGGGGGCGAGCGUUGUCCGGAAUGAUUGGGCGUAAAGGGCGCGUAGGCGGCGCGGUAAGUCUGGAGUGAAAGUCCUGCUUUCAAGGUGGGAAUUGCUUUGGAUACUGCCGCGCUUGAGUGCAGGAGAGGUUAUCGGAAUUCCCGGUGUAGCGGUGAAAUGCGUAGAGAUCGGGAGGAACACCAGUGGCGAAGGCGGGUAACUGGACUGCAACUGACGCUGAGGCGCGAAAGUGUGGGGAGCAAACAGGAUUAGAUACCCUGGUAGUCCACACUGUAAACGAUGAAUGCUAGGUGUAAGAGGUAUCGACCCCUUUUGGGCCGGAGUCAACACAAUAAGCAUUCCGCCUGGGGAGUACGGCCGCAAGGUUGAAACUCAAAGGAAUUGACGGG
rnacentral:rRNA from 1 species